CGGGGGUCUUAAAGGGACAGGAGCGGCGGGAGGGGCGGGGCAAGGCGGCGUGAGGGGGCGGAACUUCAAUUCUCUGUCUCCCCACCAAGGAAAUGAGUGGGUACUGCAAUGUGUGAUGAGUAACAUUACUUGAGCUUAGACAGAUGCCAAAGCCCAGUGAGCUGAUGACUUUUACCUCCCUCUCUUCCAAAUGUAAAUCCCUUCUCAGCCUUAGACACGUUUGUAAAUUCUCAUCCCAACCUGUUUCCUCCCUCUCAGCAACUUCACUUCUCUGGGUGAUGAGUUCUGAAUUCCCCCCCAGCCCUGAGGAACUGGCACUUGUUGGACCCCACUCUCCAAGAGCCUCUCACUGCGGAAUGGAUGCCCUCAGAAAAGCAGGGAACAGAAAAGAAAUCUCCACAAACAUCCAUCUGAAGGACACUGAAGACAGGUCUGACACAUUGCACAAGACCAGGAGGUGCAGCUGGACUCAGAACACUGCUGGGGACACGGUGGAAGCUGUAGAAUCAGAGACCAAGUGAUCUGCCAUGGCCACCGAGAAGCUCCCAAAAGAUCUGGCAGCAGAAAGAAAAAAAAUCCAGCCCAGGUUUUUGUGCUCAGUGCGGUCCUCAGGGCUCACCUGGGAGGCUGUGGCAGUUGUCUUGUCCCAGCACAGAAAGGGUCGUGGCUGGGACUGGGGCUGUUCCCGCGGUGCCUUCCUGGAAGUAAAGCCAGGAAAGUGCUCCUGGAAACACCCAUCCCUCUGACAGCUCUGCGGGAGAGCGACCGAUGGACAAGGAACAAGCAGCGGAUCCCAGCGUUUCCCAGCCUGCAGUACCGCGUGUCCCCAGCGCUCGUCCUCAGCGCGCGGCCAAAGCCACCGGCCUGACACAGCUGUGCCCAUCCUGCCCCAGGGAUCCACUGAUCCCACCCCACUGAUCCCACUGAUCCCAUCCCCCUGCUCCUGCCCCAGGGAUCCCCCUGAUCCCACCCCAGGGAUCCACUGAUCCCGCCCCAGGGAUCCACUGAUCCCGCCCCAGGGAUCCCGCCCCAGGGAUCCCGCCCCAGGGAUCCCACUGCUCCUGCCCCACUGAUCCCAUCCCAGGGAUCCCACUGAUCCCAUCCCACUGAUCCCACUGAUACCGCCCCAGGGAUCCACUGAUCCCACCCCACUGAUCCCAUCCCAGGGAUCCACUGAUCCCAUCCCCCUGAUCCCAUCCCAGGGAUCCCCCUGAUCCCACCCCAGGGAUCCACUGAUCCCAUCCCACUGAUCCCAUCCCACUGCUCUUGCCCCAGGGAUCCCACCGAUCCCACCCCAGGGAUCCACUGAUCCCACACCAGGGAUCCACUGAUCCCACCCCAGGGAUCCACUGAUCCCAUCCCACGGAUCCCACCCCAGGGAUCCCCCUGAUCCCAUACCACUGAUCCCACCCCAGGGAUCCCACCCCACAGAAUCCACCUCACUGAUCCCACCAAUCCCACCCCACUGAUCCCAUCCACAGAACCAAUCCCACAGAUCCCACCCCACCCAUCCCCCGGAGGGGCACGCUCCAGCUCCCCACUCAUAAACAGACCCACAGAAAACCAGUCUGUCUUUCAGAUUCUAUUUCAAGUUUACAGUUUGGAGACACACAACAUUUGUGAUUGCUAUUGAUCCUCAUCACCCUUCUGGAAAAAAUCAGUGGUAAAAUUCCCAAGUUUACAGGCAAGGAUUUCACAAGGAGGGAAAAUCAAGGCACUAACAGGAGUGGAGUGUCAACAUUUCAAUGUUAUCUCUAGCAUUUCUUUCCUGGUAUUAAAAACAUGCUUUUGAAUUCCAAACAAGCUCCUUAUCCUGCUCUUGAUCCACACUAAAAGUAUAAAAAUGCAAUUGCUGUCAGCAGGAAAAACAGGAUCAUUAAAUUAAAUAUUUUUGUGAUCCCACAGAGGAAAUGAUCGGGUAUAAACAGAGCUGUCCCCCAAAUCCAAGUUGGUUCCCAAGUUGCUGCAUCCUCCUGCUGAAAGCCCUGCCUGGGGUGCUCACCCUCACAAGAAGAGCAUCUUACUCAUGUCUUACUGUGAGGUGCAAGUCCUCAGCACUGCCUUUGGUCAGCUCCAGAAGGAAGCCCCUGCAUCCCACAUGGGACCAUGGCAGUCAUUCCAGAGGGGCUGCUGGAGAAGUAAAGCAGCUGGAUGACAACACAGGGCUUGUUCACACCCUGAUAUGGAAAAUUGGAAGAGGCAGGGAUGUGGUUUGGAAUGUGCCAGAGCUGCCUCUGGCCAGGCUCACGGAGAGCAGGGAGGAGCCCCGAGGCUGUUGAGCUUCUGGGGAUGGGUGAGGCACUGCAAGGACACCUCCAGGAGCAGGAAUGGCACUUUGUGCUUAUUGGAGCACUUUUUCAUGGAGCACAGCAAAACUCCCAGUAGAGUCAAGGGCAAUUGUUGAGAUCCUGGCUGAUUUACAGACACAGAGACAGCAGAUUCCUCCUGGGCACUGUACAGUGGGCUACAUAACUGGGAAUAAAGCUCAAAUCCCAGCAACUGGACAAACUCCUUCAUUACAGCCUCAGGCACCAAACAGUGAAUCCUAUUGUAAAUCCCUGGCUGAAAACUCCCCUCUCCCACACACCUGCCCACAGCUCUGAAAAAAGAGAUUGUGCUAAUAUUGGUGGGUGAGAUUUCUAAAGCUGAGCAGUGUGAACACCCCCAACAGCACUGCUACAUUCCACUUAAUUCUUCUAACCCAUUGUUAAGGUCCCUCCCAGCUCCUUGGAUUUAUAAAUAUUUGCUCCACAAAGGGCCAAAAUCCCUUACUGAAAAGUCCCUCACUACUUCACAGGCAUCUGAGGUUGCCAGGUGCUGGUGCUACAGGCUGAGCUGGUGCAA